ensembl:lncRNA
AUGGAGACAGCGCUGUACCUCCACAUGCAGCCUUUGUUACAAACCUGGUCACUGGCUGGGCUCUGGGAAGUAAACUCUAAAGUGGAAUUGAUUAGGGAUGGUUGCCAGUGGGCAGAAGGUGGUGAGGUGUCAGGUCAGAAGAGAGAGGACAGGCAUCCUGGGCUCCACACACUUGGCCUACUCUUGGGCUGUGGACCAGGAGGGUGGAAAUGGCUUUGCCCACUGUCCUUGCUCCUGGUCACCUCACGUGGGCUGCUCCAGGAAAUGGAUGGGUCUGCCCUCAGCAGAGGGACAACAUCUUGAGGAGCCUGUGUGGAAGAGGUCUGGGAAGUAUUUCCCACAGCCACACAGGAAGCAGCUGGCCAGGAUUCUGGUGGCCUUGCAUCCUCAGAAACCCAGAAGAAGCAGACUAGCAAGGUGAGACACAGCCCCUAUCACUGAGGCCAUUCUCCAGACCCCAUGGACAUGACCGUCCCCUGUUCCACUGUGUGUUCUCAAGCCUUGUCCCCCUGCCCCUCCCGGGGACCCUGUGUCAUGGGUCGAAUCUAAAUGUCCCCCUAAAGCCUUAGACCCUCAUAAGGUCUAAGGUGGGGCUUUUGGGAGGUGGCUAGAUCAUGAGUGUGUGAUACUGGGAUUAAGAGUAUAUGGGAUCAGUCCACUGAUUGGUUUAGCACAGAUCUGGGUGUGGAUAAUGAGAAGUCACACUUUGGGUGUGGGUGGCACCAACCAGUAGGCUUGCUGCUUUGCUGCCUCCUGCCUACCCUGCUAUGGACUGUUUCUCUGUGAAGCCCCUCUCCCAUGCCACCCUGCCUUGGAGCUAGCCAACUAUAGACCUCUACAAACUGUGAGAUAAAAUAAAUUUCUCCCUUAACUUGUGGGUGUCAGGUAUUCAAGAACAAGAAAGUAACCAAGAGACCUGAUAUCUUUCCUGUAGGGGAUCCAGAACCUCACUCCCAGAGGCCCUGAGUCCCCUAUCCCAUGUCUGUCUCCCUCUAGGCUUGUGGCACUUGUGCCUAUAUAGUUGUAAUUAUCCAGAGGGACCCAGAAGUUCACCUGGACUGCACACCUGUUCCUUGAGUCCCAAUGCAAAUACCAGCCCACCUCCUCCUGAACCAAUGUUGUACAACCCUGCUGGCAUAGUGACUUCUCUUCUUCUCUUCUGAUCUCUGUCUAGAAGACCCCAGGCAUCAAUCAUACCACAUAACCCAGUGGGAGCCCUACAGAUGCCCUGAAGAAAGUGUGCCCCUCUGGGGACCAGCACCCCUGACCCUGAGGACCAGUAUCCACAAUCCUGGGACCAGCACCCCGAACCCUGCAGAGCCCACUUCAUGGGGAGGUUCUUCAGGCCCAGGGCCAUGGAUGGUUCUCUUCUUUCCCAACAAAGCAUAUUGCAAUAUUUCUAGGACAUCUGCUGGACCAAGCUAUGCUGCAUGGAACUGUCAAGACAGAAUUUCUGAGACACGCCAUGCUUCCAGACCCAAACCAAAAAGUGAAUAUGCAGCACCACGGAAAAACUACUCUCUGAAUUAAGCUGAGAUAAUUACAGUAUGGUGGGAAGACAGAGCCACGCAGACCUGCUCAGAUGCUUGCUGCACCCAGGGCUGCACUUCCACCUGCAGGUCCUUCUGAGAGAGAUGGAGACUUCGGACAGAACAAAGAAGUUGCUGGCUGCUCACGUUGUGCUCUUUUUGGAGGCUAAUCCACAGGGCACCUUCCCUGGUACUGGUUAGGAACGAAUCACUGGGAUUGCUCUGGGCUCUUGUCCUAGUUUGUUUUGCUGAAUCUUUUCCCAACCCUUUUGUGGGCCAAAAAACCAAAUAUCAGGGUAUGAAACAGGACAAUGCCAAAGGGAGGAUAAAGGGCAAGCUAAGGGAUCAAGAGUCCCAGGGGUGUGGUUUCUCACCUGUCACCAAAAUCUGUGCAAAAGUCAGCAAAGAGCACAAGGACACGAAGGGCCACAAUGUGUCCUGCCAGGCAGACUGCAAAGGGGGACACAGGCUUCCAGUGCUCAGCAUGUGGCUCCAGCCACCUUUGGCUUCCAACUGCUGCAUCUGCAGCUCUGAAUUGCCACCUGAUGCUGGUGACAGAGCCUGUAGCAGCCCAGAGUCCUGGAGUGUCAGAAGCUUGCCCAGGAGCCCUUAGCCAGUGACUGGAGCACUGACUGCUGACAGUGGUCUACAUUAGCCCCAGGGUGCCUCAUUAGGCUCAAGCUCCAGAUAACCCCUGCAGGGUUUUGCUUGAGAAAGGAUCCUUUAUUGGCUAUGGCUUUGCCUGUGGCACUCCCUUGUUCUCUUGCUGGGCUUUUCUGGAAAUCCCCUCCUAAACAAGCUGUUUGCAGACUCUCAACUUAAGGUCUGUGUUAAAGGGACACACACACACACACACACACACACACACACACACACACACACGAGGACAGUAUGCUGCUAACCUGGAGUUUGCUUCUGUCUGGCUGGGCCGCAUUCACAGGCAGAUGGACGCACACAAACCUGCAACUCAUAACACACAUCAGGUAUCAUGGUUGCCACCCACUGGGCACGCAGGAAACUUAAUUUCUUUGAGUUUCAUUUUGAGAUUGGUUGACCUGAUUUCUCAUAACCAAAGCAAGCAUUCACUCUAGAUGGCUAGGAAUCUGUGUUGAUUUGUGUAAUCUCAUUUGGAUUGGGCCUCUCUUUUCAACACAUUUUUAUAUCUUGCAUUUCAGUUUCUACUAGCGCACAGUUCCUUGCUGCUGCAUUUAAAGAUAGCAUAUUUUAGAGCUCACACAGAUAAGUUGAAUUGGGAUAGAAUCUUUACUUAAAUCCCUACUUUUUAAGAAUUUCUUGCAUUUACCAUCAGAACUCCUGCAGUUCUACUUAAGAGAAUCCAGGUAAUGUAAAACUCUGAAUAAUAUUUAUUAACGCUUUUUCUUUAAUGGCUAAGAAGAAAACCUCAUUGCAAUACCCAAGGGUUCAAUUUCUUUAAUGAUUUCCUUUUUUAAAAUUUGAUUUUAUUGUAUAUAUUUAAGUUGUAUAUAACAUGUUUUGUUUUUUUGUUUGUUUGCUUAUUUGUUUUGAGACAGGUUCUCACUAUGUUGUCCAGUCGGAGACUGGGUCUUGCUAUGUUGCCCAGCCAGGCCUCAAACUCUUGAUUUUCCUGUCUCAGCCUCCCAAGUAGCUGGGAUUAUAGAACAUGCUAUUGCAUCUGGCCUCAACAUGGUGUCUUGACACACAUAAAAUUUGUGAAACUAUUUCUAUAAUCAAUCAGUUUAAUUUUCAUCUCCUUACAUAGUUGCUGUUGUGUUUGUGUAGUUAAGAGCACCUGACAGCUACUCUUGGGGCAACUUCCAGUAUACAGUCCAGCAUUCCUGACUAUACUCAUCAUACUGUGCACUGGAGCUCUGGCCUCGCUUGCGCUGGGAGCUGCAGCACUGUACACUUUGGCCAAUAUCUCCCCUCUCUUCCUUUCUUACCCCACUGCUCUGCCCUCUGCUUCUAGGUAUUUGACGUUUUAAAAUCUACAUACAGUUGGGAUCACAUAACACUUUUCUUCUGUGUCUGAUUGAUUUCACUUGGCAUGUCUUCCAUUUCGUCUACAUUGUCACACAGCAGAGUCACCUUCUUCUUAAAGGCUGAGUGAUACUUUAUCAUAGCUAUUGUCCCAGAGUCAUAUAUUGUAUAAUUAAUAUGUAAUAUAUUUUAUAUAAUAAUUAUAAUAGAUUAUUAUAUAUUGGGUGUAUGCUCAUAUGUAUCCUGGAAUUUCUUAUCCAUUUGUCCAUCAGUGAACACUUACAUUAUAUCCAUAUCUUGGCUGUUGUGAAUAAUGCUGCAGUGAGUAGGAGUGCAGAUAUCUCUUAGCUGUGCAAAUUUCAUUUCCUUGGGGGUUUCUGAAUCAUGUGGUAGCUCUAGUGUAAUGAUUUCUGAGGAAGCUCCAUGGUGUUUUCCAUAAUGGCAAUAUCAAUUACACUCCCACCAACAGUGUACAAGUUUCCCCUUUCUUUCCAUGCUUCUGUAAUCUCUUGUUUUUUUGAUAAUAGCUGUCCUUACUGGUGUGAAGUGGUAUUUCAUCCUGGUUGUGAUUUGCAUUUCCUUGAUGUUUGAUGAUGUUAGGCACCUUUUUAUAUACCUUUUAGCUAUUUUCAUAUCUUCUUUGGAGAAAUAGCUGUUUUGAUUCCUUGCUUAUUUUUAACCAGGUUAUUUUCAUGUUACUGAGUUGUAUGACUUCUUUAUAUAUUUUGGACAUUGAACUCUUAUCAGACACAUGAUUCAUGAAUACUUUCUCCUAACCCAUAGCCU